UUACCUGGUCUUGACAUCCCGGAGACCCUUAGGAACUAGGGGUGCUUCCAUCUGGAAGAAUCUGGAGACAGGUGCUGCAUGGCUGUCGUCAGCUCGUGUCGUGAGAUGUUGGGUUAAGUCCCGCAACGAGCGCAACCCUUGCCUUUAGUUGCCAGCAGUUCGGCUGGGCACUCUAAAGGGACUGCCGGUGUUAAACCGGAGGAAGGUGGGGAUGACGUCAAGUCCUCAUGGCCUUUAUGACCAGGGCUACACACGUACUACAAUGGCCGAUACAAAGGGCAGCGACACUGCGAGGUGAAGCCAAUCCCGUAAAAUCGGUCUCAGUCCGGAUUGGAGUCUGCAACUCGACUCCAUGAAGUUGGAAUCGCUAGUAAUCGUGGAUCAGCAUGCCACGGUGAAUACGUUCCCGGGCCUU
rnacentral:rRNA from 1 species